GAGUUUGAUCGUGGCUCAGAUUGAACGCUGGCGGCAUGCCUUACACAUGCAAGUCGAACGGCAGCACGGGAGCUUGCUCCUGGUGGCGAGUGGCGAACGGGUGAGUAAUGCAUCGGAACGUAUCCUGGAGUGGGGGAUAACGUAGCGAAAGUUACGCUAAUACCGCAUAUUCUGUGAGCAGGAAAGCGGGGGACCUUCGGGCCUCGCGCUCUUGGAGCGGCCGAUGUCGGAUUAGCUAGUUGGUGGGGUAAUGGCUCACCAAGGCGACGAUCCGUAACUGGUCUGAGAGGAUGAUCAGUCACACUGGAACUGAGACACGGUCCAGACUCCUACGGGAGGCAGCAGUGGGGAUAUUGGACAAUGGGCGAAAGCCUGAUCCAGCCAUGCCGCGUGUGUGAAGAAGGUCUUCGGAUUGUAAAGCACUUUAAGUUGGGAGGGAGGGCAGUAAGUUAAUACCUUGCUGUUUGACGUUACCGACAGAAUAAGCACCGGCUAACUCUGUGCCA
rnacentral:rRNA from 1 species